GACGAACGCUGGCGGCGUGCUUAACACAUGCAAGUCGAGCGGAGCGGCGAACGGGUGAGUAACGCGUGUGUAACUGCCCCCCUCUCUGUGAUAACAGUUGGAAACGGCUGCUAAUACCGGCUAGUGGGGGAUGCCUCGCGGCCUAUCAGCUUGUUGGUGGGGUAGUGGCCUCCCAAGGCGACGACGGGUAGCCGGCCUGGGAGGGCGACCGGCGACAGUGGGCUGAGGUACGGCCCAAACUGCUACGGGAGGCAGCAGUGGGGAAUAUUGCACAAUGGGGGAAACCGUGAUGCAGAAACGCCGCGUGCGGGAUGACGGCCUUCGGGUUGUAAACCGCUUUAAGCCAUGACGCGGUAGUGGCAGAAGAAGCACCGGCUAACUACGUGCCAGCAGCCGCGGUAAUUC
rnacentral:rRNA from 1 species